AUUGAGUACGGUGAGUGUAGAGAUAAAAUUUUUUGAUACCACUUAGGAACUGGUAACAGAGAAGGCUACCUUCAAAGUAAAAAACUGACGUUAAGGGACGAAGGCUUGUAACAAAUAAUAGGAUUAGAUACCCUAGUAUUUUGAGCAGAAAAUGAUGAGUGUCAUAUACAAGAUAAAUGUUUUUGUGUAUAAAUGAAAGUGUAAGCACUCCACCUCAAGAGUAACGUGGCAACACGGGAACUGAAAUCAUUAGACCGUUUCUGAAACUCGUAGUGAAGUAUGUUGUUUAAUUUGAUGGUCCUCAAAUAACCUUACCACAAUUUGUAUAACUAUUGUACGAUAGUUACAAGCGUUGCACGGCUGUCUUCAGUCAAUGUUGUGAAACUUUGGUUAGAUCCAUUUAAUUGACGUAAACCCUUACUUUAAUUAUUUUAAAGUAGUUCGCCGCUAUAUUGGUAGUGAUAUAAGGGACUAGGACAAGUCAUCAU
rnacentral:rRNA from 1 species